GGGCUUGUAGCUCAGGGGUAGAGCGCUCGCUUUGCAUACAACUCGCUAUGAUUGCGAGAGGUCUAGGGUUCAAAUCCCUACUGGUCCA